AAUCCAGGUCCGACGGGACCACGCGGAAAACCAGGACCUCUCGGGAAACCAGGAGACCCGGGACCACAGGGGCCUCCGGGGCCGCCAGGACCUGAGGGUUUCCCAGGAGACAUUGGUGCACCAGGACCCAACGGCCCCCAGGA